ensembl:lncRNA
CCAUGUGGUGUUGGCUGGAAUAGUUUGACUGGGCCUGGAGGAUCCAAGAUGCUUGACUCACAUGUCUGGUGCCUCCGCUGCCUUUUUUUCUCCAACAGAGAGGUUGGGCUUUUGUACACAGUGGCUCAGGGCCCUCAAGAGAGCAAAACCCAAAGCUGCCAGGUUUCUUAGGGCCCAGGCCUGUGAUGGGCAGGGUGCCACUUUCCGCACUCUACUGGUCAGAGCAAGUCACAGGCCGGCCAGAUUCAAGGAGAGAGGAAAUAGUCUCGCUACACCCUGGGUGGAAAGGAGCAGUGUGUGUGCACAGGAUGGGAAAUUUCAAGCAGGGGAAAUAUGCCAGGCAUGUGAUAUACAAAUAGUACUGGUUGGAAUCAUUGAGUGAAGGAACAAACAAAUGAACGAAUGAAUAGAAUAAUAAAAAAAAAAGAAAGUAUUUUUACAUAUACAGACAGUAUGUAGACAGUAAAAUGCUUAAAUCUUUUAUAUAAAGGGAAUGUAUUUAAUGGUAGAGACUGACUGUAUUCAAUUUUGCACCAAAAGAGAGGCUGAAGGAAGAGAUAGGUAUUCUCCAUCUAGACAGAUUGUGUCAGGCCAGGCCAGAGUGUGUAAGACCAGGGACGUCUAGCUAGACUGGGAGCAAGUAUCCAUAGGAGGUGCCUAUGGCAGGCAGGACAGAGGUCAGUUCUGGGAGUGUGGAGCAAGAGCAGGAAAUGAGAAAUGAGGGAGGUUCUGCAGGUCAAGGCAGCAAGUCCAGAUCAGCAAGGUCAGACUCCAGACCAGAAACCCAGGACAGGAAAAUGAGACAAAAAGCGCCCCAAGCCAGUAGGAGACAAGAUGCUGGACAUCAGCAUCAAGCACGGUAUACAGUAUACCCUGGGUAUACUGGUCAGCUAGCCUGGUGCUGGGCCAAUCCUGGAGCCUGGGUCUGCGGUAGCUGGUCUGAAGUCUAGGUCCUCAGGGGCCAGCCUGGCGCUAGUUGGUCAGGACCUCUUCUCCUUUUCCUUACUGGGUCAUCUGUUCUCCAUCUGGAUUUGCAGAAAGAAGCAGCUCUUGGUAUGAGCUGAUAUUAAUCAUUUUUGUCAGAAUUACUCAAAAUGUAGUGUGGUAGCCGGCCUCCAUGAUGGCCACCAAUGAUCCCCACCUCCUGGUGUUCACACUCUUGUCUAGUCCCCUCUCACCUUGUAUGAGGACUGGUCUAUGUGACUCAUAGAGUAUGACAAAAGUAACAGUAUGUCACUUCCGAAACUAGGUUGUUAAAGACCGAGAGUUCCAUCUUGGUUCCAUCUUUCUCUCUCUCUCAUCUCUAUCUCUCCCUCUAUCUCUGGUCGCUCAUUCUGGGGGAAGUAUGUUGUCAGGUUGUGAGCAGUCCUGUGGAGAGGCCCACAUGGCGGGGAACUGAAGCCUGUGGCCAAGAACCGCGUGAGAGAACAACCACCACAAGUGUCUAGCCACAACCCUCCAAACUAACGAUUCCUAUUCUUCCGCCUCUUUCCUGGCUUGGCAUUGCUGAGAAUUAAAACCUGCCUGCUCAGAUCCUUAUUAGAACUUUAGGUUGUCUUACAGUCAGCCCUUCCCGCCAGGAUCUGAGGAAGCAUUGAGAAUUAAAGCGCCACAACUUGGCGUGUACUUCACAGGACUCAGCCCUGCGGCAGUCGGCGCAUGAGCUGGAUUUCUCUCUGGACAAGCCACUCUCUGGGCUACUAAGGAAGUCUGACCAAAUGCUCAAGUCAUGCAGGCCCUUAUGUGAGAGGUAACUGUGACUGGACAGCAUCACCAAGAACAUCUACAUCUUAGCUCCAAGGAACUCGAUAAACAGUGCUGCCUAUUUGAAAGAUUUUAAUCUACCAAUCUUAGACUUUAAUACGACCUUUUAUAGUGAUAUUUCUCUUUUGUAUUUCAGGCAUCCCUCUUUUAAGAAGCCUGACCCUAAAACAAAUGACCUUUGCCACCACCUCUUAAUAGAUGGUUCAACUGAUUUUGCAGGAACGACACCAAUAAGACUCUUCAGGAUACAAUUUCUUAGACUGCUUCAACCAAUCAGGAGAUUUCUGAUCCCUUUGAGUCAUUCAGUCGCAAAUGAUAUGAUUCAUGUUGAACAAAAUGGGGGACAGACAAUGUUUAAUUUUACCUAAACCCAGUGAUUCUGGAAAACAAGUUAAAGUUAAGAAAUUCCCCCUCUCUGUGUCCUGGAAAUCGACUUAUUGCUAAGAACCACCCUUUCCCAUAUGGCUUAGAUAAAAUUCAUGGAUGCCCCCCUUAUUUACCUAUAAUAAGGCGGGACAUAGACCCUCCAAAUUUCCAUUCUCUGUCUCAUAAAAGACUAGCUGAACUGCUUGUGCCCAUGGAAUUGGAAAGAAAGUGCUCAUUAAUCCAACUUAGGUUAAAUUUCUCUCUUCUUCUAGGCCCCUAAACUUUCACCCACCCUCAGUCUGAGACAGCAUUUGCCCCAUUUAAGGGCCCUGCUGAAAAUAGGUUGACCCCAGGGCAAAAUAUCCUUGAUCUGCUAUCCAAUCAUUCCACUCCACCCUUUCAUCCCACUUCUCCUUGUUUACUCCUCCCUGUAAGAAAAACCCUUUUUGCCCAACCUCUGAGAUCCUACAGAUCCUAUUGUCAGAGAGUUCUCCCUAUAGCAGCAGCACCUUCCCUCCUCCCACCUUGCAUUAAUCCUUUGGAACAAAGUCUCUCCUUGCCUAAAUCUGGAUUUGUUUUUUGACACCAUAUAACUGUUUUAUUCACUUUACGGCAGGUUAAACACAUAAUAUUUUAGUGAGGACUUUUAAGUAUACAAGAUUGAAAAGUUUCAAAGAUGUGUUUAUGGUAGUAAGAGAAAUAGUUGCACCAAAAAUAAGUAAUAUAACAGAAGUCCGUUCUAAUAGGAUUUACUGAUAAUAGCAAUUACUGAUGGAAUUGGAAAUUCUAGUAAUAGUAUAAAUACUGAUACCUUAAAUUCUAGAACUUAACUCUGUUUGUAAAAAAUAUCCUGGAAACAUUUUAGUUAAAAAGAAAGUUAAGUUCAUAGCAAUUUUGCAUGAUAUUAAAUGGUGAAUACAUGUUGACAAAUAAAAAUGUUAAGCAAUAGGAUAUAUUGGAGAAUAUGAGGAAGCCAUUUGGUGUAAACCUACUUAGGCCUGUCCUUGUCUUUCCAAAAGGGGCUGACCGUGGCUUUUGAGCAUGCAUUGUAUAUCUGCUUUAGAGAUUCCCUAUGGCAAGAACAAAGGCCUUUGAGAUAAAGGUGCAACUUCCCUCCCCCUCUCAAAGUUGGCAUUUCCUUAAAGAUUAAGCAUCUUUCCUUAGGCUAGGAACUGAUUGCUGCCUCACCUGUGACCACCCAGCUAGACACAACAGACUUGCCUCCUGCUACGCCCUCCGAGAUAGCAGACCCACUACCUGCUGUGUCCAUCAAGUGCUGUGCCAACAGGGCAAUCUUGUGACUAUUGUGGGAGGGACAUUUCAAUCAUAUGUGAAGCAUCCUGUUUGGGGGUAUAUAACCACUCUGUAUACCUCACUUCUUUGGUGCCGUUUCUUCCUUCGGGAAGAAAGGCCCCAGGCCAUGGUCCUCAGAUUUCAGCUCAGAAUAAACUCAUCCAAAUUUUCAUUUAUAGAUUGGUUAUGGAUUAUUUUCGUCAACAAUGUCAUUAUACAUUUGUCAAACGCAUAGAAUAUGCAACACCAAGAGUGAAACCUAGUGUGUACUCCUGACUUUGAUAAUGAUCUACUCAUGUUGGCUCAUGGAUUGUAACAAAUGUGCCAUACUGUACAGGAUAUUGAUGGUGGGAGAGACUGUGGGUGUUCAGUGGAGGGGGUGUAUGGGACCCUCUGUACUUUCAGCUUACUUUUGCUGUAAACCUAAAACUGAUCUAAAAAAUAAAACCUAUUAAUUAAAAAAUAAAUAAAACUAGA